rnacentral:lncRNA from 1 species
GGGGCCCACACAUUUUCUUUCUCACCCACUAUUUCAUUUUACCUUACAUUAUAUAACACAUACACACACAUAGACAGAGGGGGCGAACAGAAACAGAAUAAAGAGAGAGAGAGAGGGUGAUGAGAAACAAAUUAGAGAGGAGAACGAGAGAAGUCUGGGAGGAACGAAAAAAUAGAGGAAAACGAGGGCCCAUAAAUAUCACUUUCUUCUACAAAGUUAAUCCAUUCUUUAAACCACCAUUAAUCUCAUCUUCCUUCACCCUUGUUUCCUCCCACCAAAUAUCACCAUAGCGAUUGUCCCUAACACCAAAUAUCACCUACAACUAAUUCAAACACCCUUACUUAACGUCAAACUAAAGUGGUCGGGUUAGUUAUAUUUUGUUUGAAGUUGUAGAAUGAGGUUUUCAGCUCGCCGUUUUGUCUAUUUUUUGUUGAUUUUUCACUUCUCUGGUCAAGUUUUCGUCGCCGGAUUUUUUUUCCCUUCAUCAAUUGUAAAGCUGUUUUGGGAAGUUCUAUUAAUGGAAAAGGCUACUUAAAGUGUAUAUUCAACUCAAUUUCCAGGAGAAACUUAUCACUAAAGGUCUAACUCUUUUCUCUUUUUUUCUUGCAUUUUAUUUUCUAGCUUUGUUGCUGUUUGAUUUACUUUACGAAAUGGUCUUGUGGCUUAUAUUAUAAUUUGUAUGUUAAUGUGUUCUUAACAAAAUAGUUGUUAUACUUUGAAUCACUAUUUCCUUAAUUAAGAACAUAAGAGAUAAUUUGAUUUUGAGUUAUUGGGUUUAGUUAUAAAAGUUAAAAUUAAAAUGGACACUACCAUGAAACAAGCAAGAGAUUUGGGGUUAAGAAUAUUUUAGAGUGGUUGGAUUUAAACCAAUAAAAUAAAAUUGGGCUUUGCUUGAGUUAUUCGCAUUUUAGACUGACAAAAGAAAAAAAAUUGAAAACAAAUUUAGAUUAAAAGGGAUUUGGGUUUAAUAUGAAUCUUAUUUAUUGCAAUUGAGUAUGUUAGAAUGCUUUGGGCGCAUUUUGAAUCUAUCAUCGUGAUUGUGUACACGUUCGCGUGAUAUAAUUAUGAUUCUAAAAGUAAAUCAAGGUCUGCGUUCGUGCAACUUCAGUCAAACUUUCUUAAUAAUAAUAAAGUAUUAUUAAUUAUGGACACGUUUGCGUGACAUAAUUUUUGACGCGCCAAACAAAUGGGUACACGUACGCGUGACCUAUUUUAAGAUAAUUUCUUGACUAAAAGAGGUAAAUGCACAUAGGUUCUAAAAUAAUUAAUUAGGCAAUUUAAUUAAGCCAAGUAUGAUUAAAGCGACCGUACUAAAAUCACGUAACCCGGGAAUGCUAACACCUUCUCCAGGGUUAAUAGAAUUCCUCACCCAGAUUUCUAUGUUCGCAGACUGUAAAACAGAGUCAAACUUCCUCGAUUCAGGAUUUUAAACUGGUGACUUGGGACACCAUAAAUUAUCCCAAGUUGUGAUUUUGAAUUUGAAUAAAUAAUCUCGUUUCGAUUAUCGUCACUUUAAAUGGAAAAACUUCCUUAUAUCCUCUCUCGGGUGGUAAAAAGGAGGUCUGAUAGCUCAGGCGACUCUGCUGGGGAUAAGAACCCAGAAUCUCCGGUUCAGGGUUCAGAAUUCGAGCUUGUUAAUAUGAUCUAUGCUUGGCUUUAUUAUUUGUUGAUAUUACUGUAUUUGUGGACCUAAUAUGCUAGUUGACGCUUAUUUACCGCUUUAAUAUUAUUUGAACUGUAUUAAAUUGUCUUCUUACGCCUCCCUUUUGAGUCCUCUAAGAAUGAUGCACAUAUUCGAGUGGCCCACUUUUCUGUUAGAAGUUAUACCAAAUAGAACAAGGUUGGGCCAGCAACAAGGUUGGGUAGACUUUUGUGCUCCCGGGACGUUGCCCCCACCUCGGCUCGAGCUGUUUGCUUGGGUAAACCAUGUCUAGAACACACCCCCUGGGUUUCAAACCUAGAAUAAUAUAGCCUCAUCCGGAUCCCUAGUAGGAACAUUUGUUUGCAUCACGUGCAUUUGACUUAGGGGACUCAAACAGGGGUUGAGUUCGUCUAGGACAAGUGUACCCAGAAUGAAAGACCAUCCUGAUGCAUCUUACGUGCUAUUUAUAUAUUUAUUUGCUUCGGCUUGUAUGUUGACUGGCUAAGGAAAGAAAAAACAAUGGAAAAAUUAAAAGUGAGGUAGGAUAGAGAAUUCACCCAGUUAUGAAAAUCCUGGUAUUUGAAAACGCCUCGAAACUCUGCCAAAAUUUUUGAAAAAAAGAAGAAGAAGGGAAAAUAUAUUUCAAAAAAUGAAAGUGGGUCAAUAUCAUGUUUUUCCAAUUAUGUCAAAACUGACCGAACUACGCGGGUCUGAUUCUUACCGGAUGUGAGAUACGUAUGCAAACCUCAUUGGUUCCGGGCCACCAUUUUAAAAAAAAUCCAAAACUAUUUUCCUUUACUUCCUUCUUUAGAAAGUCUUUCUUUUAGAUCUCAUUUUUUAAAAAAUACAAAAAAAAUCUCUCUCAAAAUCCAAAAAUAUUUGUUUGAAAAUUCAAAAAAGUAUUUUGUCUUUUCUUUUGUAGUAUUUCUUUCAUAAAUUCAAAGUAAAAGUCCAAAAAUAUUUCCUUUAUUCUUUGGAAGUUUUUCUUUCGAAAUUUUCAGAACAAAGAAAAAGAGAAAAAAGAAAAAGAAGUUAAAAUUCAAGAAAAUAUUUUUUUCUCUUCUUUAGACGUCUUUAUUUUCAAAAAAUUCUUUUAAAAAAACAAACAAAUCGAAAUCCAAGAAUAUUUUAUUUCUUCUUUGUAAGUAUGUCUUUCGAAAAAAAUAAAUUUCAAAAUCCAAAACAAAAUAAAAAAAUAAUUUAUUUACUUUAUUUUCGGUCUUCCCGAACUACACAAGAUCUAAUUCAUGUUCCCACAUAAUAUGUAGGCACCCCACAUCAGGUUUGAUUGAAUCAUUUUUUAAAAAAAAAAGAAAAAAGAGAGAAAAUAGGAAGGAAAGUGCUUAAAAAAAACAAAAGAGUGACCAUUCUAACAUGUUUUUUGUUUUGAAUUGUGAAGAAGUUUGAGGUGGUUGGUUUGUGGUAAGCGGACAUCACAAGAUCCAAGGAAAAAUGAUAACUGACAUCGAAGCUGUUACAACUGCUCAAGAGACUCAGGGUCAGAGGGUUCAACAAGAGUCUACUGUGUUUGAGGAAAAUAGAACGCUAAAACAACAAAUGACCAAAAUGUGUCAAGCAUGGGCCAAUGGCCAAGGAUAGCCUUGUCAUGAGUCACAAUUUGCUACCCAGCAAGAGCAGUACCACUCUCCUGAGUACCACUCGUACUUGUUUGAUCUUCCUGCAAACAUUGAGAAGUCUGCCCGAAAGAUGGCACAAGAAGAAAUGACCCAACGAGUGAAAAGCUUAGAACAACGAUUGAAAAACAUGCAAUGGUUGGCAGGUCAGAAGAGUAUUGCCUUCAAGGAUCUAUUUAUGUUCUCCAAUGUCCACUUGCGACUUGGUUUCAAGAUCCCCAAAUUUGAAAAGUAUGAUGGACAUGGAGACCCCAUAACCCACUUGAAAAGGUAUUGCAAUCAACUAAGAGGUGCGGGAAGAAACGAAGCAUUAUUAACAACUUAUUUUGGGGAAAGCCUUACGGGUGUAGCCUCCGAGUGGUUUAUGGAUCAAGACACAUCUCGCUAGUACGUCUAGGAUGACAUGACAUAGGCCUUUGUCAAAUAGUUCCAAUACAACAUAAACAUCGCCCAGACCGCAAUUUCCUUUCGAACCUGAAGAAAAAACCAACUGAAUGUUUCAGGGAAUAUGCCAUUAAAUGGAGAGAGCAGGCAGCUAGAGUUAAACCACCCAUUGAUGACCAUGAACUAAUCACUGUCUUUCUUCAGGCUCAAGAGCUAGAUUAUUUUUAAAACAUGAUGUCCACAGUGAGUAAAUCCUUCUUGGAAGCAAUCAAAAUGGAGGAAAUGGUUGAGAAUGGUCUUAAAAUAGGAAAAAUUAUAAGUCAAGUAAUUCUCAAAGCCGCAACUCAGGCUGUCCAGAUUAAAUCUGAGAAUUUUAGGGACACAAAUAAGAAGGACGAAGAAAUUACGAUGACAUCAGGGUCGAGAAGAGGUUCUAGGAGAGCAUCUCGAAGGUAUGACCAGCCCCGUCUGUUUUCUGAUGAUGCUCCAGAGCACUAUUAUCCACCUCAAUACUCACAAUACUCUGUUGCUCUACUUCAGUAUGUUGUCCAGCCACCAAAUCACCUAAGAAGGCGAGCACGAGCACCGCAAAAUCUCCACCAGCCUCCACAAAAUUUUCAAGCACCCUAUAACCCACGUCCAAGCCAGGGAUAUAGAAGGGAACAAAGGUUGAAAGAUAAUUUUACACCAAUAGGAGAGUCCUAUGCAAGCUUAUUUGAGAAGUUAAAGCAUUAUGACAUGAUUGCACCCAUUCCUCCAAAUCAUGUGGACCCACGUGCAAGAAGCUUUGACCCUUCUAAAAGGUGUGAAUACCAUUCCAAUUCCUAAGGGCACAAUGUUGAAAGCUAUCGGUAUUUGAAAAGAGAAAUAGAAAGGAUGAUCCAGGAAAAACUGAUUGUGAUCCAAGACAGUGACACCCAGAAUAUCACGCAUAAUCCUUUACUUGCACACGAUGAUGCACACUUUGUGGGGAUGAUGCGUGGUGACAUGGAGAAUGAUAAUCCUCUCGGGAACUUGCCUACUAAAAUUGGAGAAGGUCAUGGUGAUUCGGAUGAGCAAAUUUGUGGCUAAAUGUCAAUCUUAGCAAUUGAAAAGUCAUUUCCUCCUCACUAGGAAGGAAUCUUGGUAGCUUGUUUUGAUAUUUUUUAUAUUAUCUGGGUUAUUUCAGGGUUGUGAUCCAGAUUUUAUUUGUUUUAUUGAGUCAAACCCUUCUAUCCCUCCAUUCUGUCUGUGUGAGUCUUGUCCGUUUGUUCUGUCGUUGUUUUCAUUAGCUGGGUUAUUUUAGGUUUGUAACUCGCAUCUUAGGUUGUUUGUCUUGUUUUUAAACCUUUUCAUCCUUUACUCAAUAAAAUACAGUUUGUCCUUUUGUGUUAUUCUGUUCUUAGUUCUUUUUUCACUAGUUCUAAUGACAUGACAUGCAUGCAGAAAUUUUGGCCAAAUCUUAGAAACUGAUUUAAUCUGGAAUUGGAUAGCUGAAAAAAAACUUUUGAGGAUGAAUAAAGAGUUGAAAUACUUUGGAAUUAAGGUCGAGUUCAAAUCAUUGUGAAGAUCGGGCUUGAGGAUGUUUAAUCAAUUGAAGUUAGUUGGAAAGUUUGACAUUAAGGGAUGGAAAUUGUUUUGUGACCAUGACAAACCAAGAAGAUAGGCAUGUUCAUCAAUGCUGUGAUCGGAAAAGGAUACUAUGUUUGACGUUCUUGAGGCUGGGAAGCCCUUUUUUUUGCAACCCAAACACUUUAUACCCUUUGUUACCCCUUUUGAGCCUGGGUUAUUUUCUUCGACCUUCCUAUUUUGGAAUCAAAUUUAGAGUCAAAAGUCAAAAAUAAAUAAUAAAAAAAUAAAAUAAUAACAAUAAAGGUCCAUGGCCCAAGAGUACAAACUGGGGCAGCUCUUUGAAAGUUCAAGUGAAAAACGAAAGAAGAAAAGAACUGUCGAAGGUCCAUGCCCUCAGAAGAUAGAAGCUAGGGCAGACAAAAAGAAAAAAAAGGAAAAAAAUAUCAAAAAAGAAAAAAAGAAAGAAAUAUGAAAAAUAGUUUAGGUCAGAUGUUUGAACUAUGUUUGACCUGAUUCCUUAAAACAAAAGGAUACGUAGGCAGCCUCACGGUUCGGUCUAACCAAAUAAGAAUUCAAAAAAUAUAUAUCCAAAAAUCCCAGUAUCUGAAACUGGGGCAGAGAUUUUAUUUCACUUUUGAAAGAGUCGAUUCCAAGAGUUGUAAGUCCAUAAACCCUCAUUUUGAGUCUACUUUGAGCCUUCAUACCGACCCUUCUUUCCAACCCUAUCCAAAACCUUCCGAAGAAAGACCUCCAGAUAUGCCUUCAAGAACGGCAAGAGAAGCAUGCAAUUAACAAUGGUUGUUACACGACAUAGAACACUGUCAAGUUGCUUAAAAAAGGGGGGAGGAAGAAAAAGAAAAUGAGAGAGUCUUACUAGUGAAAACCCUCAAGGGAACUGUAAGGCGAUGGUAAGAAGAGAUGAACAAAUGAGAGAGACGUAUCAGUGAAAACCCCUCGGGGCACCACUAGUCGAAAGUGAGUCGUGAAGAUGAUGCAAAGGAUUGGCACGAACAAGCCUGACUUCAAAGGUCAUAAGAAUGGCAAAAGGGAAGACUGGAUUAGUUUGAUAGAUCAGACCGUUGAGUCCAAAAUGCAUGUCAUGACCAUUAAGGCUAGUUAUUGAAAAAAAAAGAGAAAAAAGGGAAAGAGAAGAAAAAAAACUCUUCCUUCUGUCCUUCCGAUAGGGGCAUUUCUUGUUCAUACUUGUUUCUUUGCAUCAUUGUGUCCUUCACUCCGAGUUAGUCCUUGUCAAAAUAAGUAAGAGAAGAUUUCAAAAUCUACUACCAGCUUUUCAAUUGCACAAAGUAAAUUUGGCCAGCACACUCUAAUGUUACAGUCAAUAUGACUUGAGGAUUCAUGCAAAGGCUCUCCCAAAAGACUCUUGUCAGCCUGCUUGGCGCAAACAAAGAUAACUUGUGAUUCUCUCUGACAGACAAAUUGCUCAAAAGUAGGAAGUCAUUCAAGAUAUCAGAAAAGAUCACCUAAGCAAAGAUCACCAGUUGGGAUAAGGCUGUUUGAGCCGCAAAUACAAAUAGUACUGGGUGUAAAACAAUCAGAGUGGGUGUAGAACAAAAGUCUCUUGAGACCGACUCAAGCUGAUCGAGCAAAAGCCAAGCUGCUCGAGAAUCAAGGCCACAAACCGACUACCACAUUCAAAACUAACAAAAUUUUCUUUGUUUGAACUGGAACAAAGCGGUGCAAGGAAAGUGGUUUCAAAAAAAAAAGAAGAGAAAACAAAAAAGAAAAAGAAAGAAAAAGAAGAGAAGGGAAGAGCUGACAAAAGGAAGUUCCUCACAUAUUUUCCUUUAUUUUGUCUUGGUAACGUGCAUAAAUGUUGCCAUUGCUCUUCACAUUUUUCCUCAUAGGAUAAAAGUCUUAGUCUGAUGGAUUUUCUCCCAAUUAAACGUCUUAGUCGGAUGAAUCUUUCUCCUAAGAUACCAAAAAGGACAAAGUCUGAUGAAUUUUCUCCUAGGAUAAACGUCUUAGUCUGAUGAAUGUUUCUCCUAAGAUAGGAAACCUAGUCUGAUAUUUUUUCUCCUAGGACAAAAAUCUUAGUUUGAUGAAUCUUUCUCCUAAGAUAACGAAAAGGGACUUAGUUUGAUGAAUUUUCUCUUAGGAUCAAAAUCUUAGUCUGAUGAAUCUUUCUCCUAAGAUAGGAAACCUAGUAUGAUAAAUUUUUUCAUAGGAUAAAAAUCUUAGUCUGAUGAAUCUUUCUCCUAAGAUAACAAAAAAAAAGGGACCCGGUCUGAUGAACUUUCUCCUAGGAUCAAAAUCUUAGUCUGAUGAAUCUUUCUCCUAAGAUAGGAAACCUAGUCUGAUGAACUUUCUCCUAGGAUCGAAAAUUUUAGUCUGAUGAGAGCCCUAGUCUGAUGAACUUUCUCCUAGGAUAGAAAUCUUAGUCUGAUGAAUCUUUCUCCUAAGAUACCAAAAAAUACAAAAAAAAACCGAGUCUGAUGAAUUUUCUCCUAGGAUCAAAAUCUUAGUCUGAUGAAUCUUUCUCCUAAAAUAGAAGACCUAGGGUGAUGAACUUUCUCCUAAGAUAGAAAUCUUAGUCUGAUGAGUCUUUCUCCUAAGAUAAUAAAAAUGGAUCUAGUCUGAUGAAUUUUCUCCUAGGAUGUCACGACCAAAAAUUCACUAAGGGUCGUGAUGGCAUCGGAUACCACUGUCAGGCAAGCCAACCACAAUUUACUAGCAAUUUCUCAUUUUAAUUAUCUUGAAAUCAUUUCCUCUAAAAAAUAAAUAAUAAACUCCACUAGAUAAAUGAGGAUGUCUUUACAAAAUUUAACUACUGAAAAAUCCCGUGAUCCUCCCAGAACCCGGUGUCACAAGUGCAUGAGCAUUUACUAGGGAAUGAAAUAAAAUACAGUAACUAUCCAGAAUACAAGUGGACAGAAAUGGAAAUACAAUACUCUGAAGGAGACUCUGCUGGCUACGGACGUCUCGAUAAAUGCAACUCACCUAAGUCUCCGUAUCAUCCAUGCCGCUAUGCCACUUAUUAACCUGUGCAACAAAAAUGCCCAGCAAGUGUAGUAUGAGUACGAAAAUAACGUGUACCCAAUGAGUAUCCCAUCUAAUCUUGAAGAAGUAGAGACGAGAGGUCGACUUCGACACUUACUAGUGGUCCAAUAAUGUUAUAUCAAUAAUAUAGUAAAUCAGUGAUUUUUUAUAAACAUGAUUAUAAUUCAAUGGAAUGAAACAAGUAAGAAAUUUUUUCUUAUAGAAAAUUUCCAAAUUCCUUUUUCAUCGUUUAGACAAAUAUUCUCAAACCGGGAAGAGGCAAUAACAAUUUCAAUAAGUUUCAAGGCAAGCAAUACAAGCAUGUACAAAUCAUGUCGAGGUCGUACGACCCGAUCCAACAAUAUUUAAACUGUGCACUACCAGAGGGUCGAAUGGUGCAAACCAUAGAUGCAUCUAUUUAAUCUACCGAGGCGUUCGGCUCGUUCCAGAAUUUAAACACGCACAUACAAUCAAUCAAGAAGUCAUCAGGAAACAAUUAUCCAAAUAAAACCAAUUCUCUUUUAACAAUUUUAAAAAAUGAAGUUUAAUUCUUUUUAUAAAUCCAUUCACCAAUUCGAUAGGAUUUAAGCAAUCAACUAUCAAUAAGGUUACAGAUAUUCCAAGUAUAACAUGCUUUUGGGUCCUAGACUACCCGGACUUACACAUAUUAGUAGCUACGCACGUGCUCUCGUCACCUCGUGCAUACGUAGCCUCCACAAAUAGGAGCACAUAACCAAUUAUUUCACCUAUGGGAACAAUUCCCUCUUACGAGGUUAGAAAGGAAACUCACCUCGCUCCGAAAAUCCAUAAUUAGCAUUUCACGUUCUUCCGAAGACUCGAAUCGAUAAGCCAAGCUCCAAAUCUAGCCAAUAAUAAUACCAAUCCAUUAAUAUAUAUGCAAUUACCCCUAAUGAUCCAAUUUAUAACAAUUCCUAACCACGAUCGAAAAGUUGACAAUUAUGCCCUCGGGCCCACGUGCCCGGGAUCCAAAAAUUUUCGAAGGAUAAGUUUACCCAUAACCUCACGAUCUCAAAUAUAUAAUUUACUCUAAAUUUUAUACCCAAAAUCGUGGUCAAAUUCCAAGAAUAUCAAUUUUUUAGGUUUUCCCUCAAACCCCAAAUUUCUACCAAUUUCAUGCUCAAAUCCAUAUAUAAUCAUGUAUUUAACAAAAAACUAGCACAAAUUACUUACCUCAUGCUUGGUGGUGAAAAUGGCACCUCAAAGUUGCUCCAAAAUCGGCUCCAAUGGAAGAAAUGGAGUUGAAAUGAACCCAACCCCUGAUUUAAAAGAACCUCACUGCCUCCAGCAUUUCCGCACCUGCGGUCACUUGGCCGCUUCUACGGUUCCGCAGGUGCGGUUCCAAUACCGCUUCUGCGGCCCUCCUCCAGCUGCCCCAGUUCGCUUCUGCGCUGCACGAACCACAUCUGCGAUCACGCAGGUGCGUGAAUUCCUUCGCACCUGUGGUCCCUGAUCCCUUCACUUCUACGCUUCUGUGGUGCUCUUCUUCGCUUCUGCGGGGCCGCUUCUGCGGUGAACCCUCCGCAGAAGUGGUUACACCAGCAACCAGACCCCUUCAGCCCAUCCUUCAAGCUCCAAUUCAAUCCGUUAAUCACCCAGAAUCCACCUGAGGUCCCCGGGACCCCAACCAAUUAUGCAAACGAGUUCCAAAACACAUUACAGACUUGCUCGAGGCGUCAAAUAACAUCAAACAAUGCUACAAUCAUGAAUCGACCUCCAUUCCAAGCUUUCUAAACUUUAGAAUUUCAAACUUCUACUUUCGAUGUUUAAUCCUAUCAAAUCACGUCCGAUUGACUUCAAAUUUUGUACACAAGUCAUAUUUGACAUUACGGACCUACUCCAACUUUCGGAAUCGGAUUCCGACUCCGAUAUCAAAAAGUCAACUCUUAGUCAAACUUCCUAAAAACCUUUAAAUUUCUAUCUUUAGCCAAUUGACUCCAAAAUGACCUACGGACCUCCGAAUUCACUUCCGAUCCUGCUCCCAAUGCAAGAAUCACCAUAUGGAUCAAUUCCCAGACUUGGAAUCCCAAACGGAUAUCGAUAACGCUGAAAUGCACUUCAACCCAAACUUAUGAAAUUUCUUCCAAAAUGCUAACUUCCACAAUUGGCGCCAAAAUGCUCCCGAGUCAUCCAAAACUCGAUCUGGGCAUAAGCCCAAGUCCGAUAUCAUCAUAUGAACCUACUGGAACCUUCAGAUCCUGAUUCUGAGGUCGUUUACUCUAAAAUCCAAUCUUAGUCAAUUAUUUCAACUUAAUGCUUCCGAAAUGAGAAUUUCCUUUCCAAAUCAACUUAGAAUUUCCCAGAAUUCAAUUCUGACCAUGCGUACAAGUCAUAAUACCUAAAGUGAAGCUGCUCAUGGCUCCAAACUGCUGAACGACGCGUUAGAGCUCAAAACGACCGGUCGGGUCGUUACAUAGGAUAAACGUCUUAGUCUAAUGAAUCUUUCUCCUAAGAUAGAAAACCUAGUCUGAUAAAUUUUCUCCUAGGAUUAUAAGUUUGGAUUUGAAAAGAAAAGGGGUUAAUUUUUAGUUUUCUUAAGUUAUCAAUCUUUAGUUUUCUUGGAAUUAGGGGCCCCGCCUGGAGAACAAGUUCAGUUUUUACUUUAGUCAAGCUUAGUUUAUAGUUUUCCGCAAGCUCAAUCUCAAAUCUAGGAGACACACUUCCUAGGUUGGGUUAUUUUGGUUUCAUCCCUAGGAGACGCACAUCCUAGUCGAAUCUUUAAUUUUACUCUCAUCAGUGUAUCUUUCAUCAACAACGUAGGUGAUUUAUAGUUCUGCUAACAACUCACAAAUCUUCCUAGUGCAAACUGGGGCAGAAUAUAUCUUUUAUUUUGUCUAUUUUGCUGUAGUAGCAGGCACCCACCUGGAGAAUGAGGAAAUUUAUUUCAAGUUUCCACUUAGCAGCAGGUGCCCGCCUGGAGAACGAGGGAAGUCAUUUUAGAAUUCAAUUCAAGUUAGAAGUAGUAGAAGCUCGCCUAAAGAAUGCGAGUCGAUAGUCCGAGAUGACCAAAAGAAGAAGUCUCAAUCCAAAUAAAAGAAAAAGAAAAAAAAAGAAAAAAAAGAAAGGGAAAGAAGUAAAUCCAAAUGCAGAAGUAGAUGAAAGAUGUGAACUGUUCAAGACAUGGUUGAAGUCACGAGCACUGCAUGUCCGGUCUUGACCUGAAGUCGUGGAUGUGUGAAUCAGCACCUGCAGUUAGCAAGCAUCAAGAUUCAAAUCAAAAGUCUGCAUGAAGAACCAUUCAAGACCCAAGAUCAAGCUUCAGUAGACUUAUAGAUAUGAAUCUUGUUACUCAUAGCUGAUAGGCUUACUUAGUUCUUUUAGAUUUUGAUUUGAUGUAAUGACAUGACCGCGGACCGGAACCUCGACGGACCGGUAUCUCACUCGAAUCUCUCAUUCUCUCCACACAUUCCAUCACUUCAUUCACUUCUGACCUAUACGUGGCCUGAUUCCUUUAUAGCCAAGGAUAUGUAGGAAGCUCAGAUACCAGGGCUCGGUCACAUUCUCCUUUAUUUUAGUUUUUGGUCUCUUUAAAUAAGGGUCGGGUCAAAAAACCUGUCUCGUCGUUCUUUGUCUGAAAACUCUUCGUAUUUCCAGUGAAAGAGGGGCAGCUGAGACAUGUAAAUUUUGACUCUACUUGAAAUUUUACUCAUUUUAGUGCUUAGAUUUUGGUUUUAGGUCUAAUAUUGUUACUUUGAAUAUUUUAAACCUUUUGCCUUAUUUCAGCAUAAUAUUAAAAACUAAAAAGAAGUACAUUUCCCUUUGAUUUUAACUAAUUGUGAUUUUGUCGUAUUGGAUUUUAGUUAGUGCAAUUUUAUCUUAUCCAAAUAGUCACAUGAUAAGUAUUGAAAAUAAUUUUUCUUUUGUAUACAUUUGGUGUAUGUACAUAGCUUAUUAUUGGCAUUUUAUUUUCCUCACUUUUGUAUUUUAUUUUAAAACAAAAAGAAAAACACAAGAAAACAAGAAAAAAUAACUCCUCCAGUUUAUGCAUUUCAACGUUAGUUAAGUUAUUCUUUUCUUUCUUAUUUUAGUUGCUGUUUUGAUUAACCAAAGAAGAGGUAAAAGAAAAGAGAUUGAAAAAAAAGAAAGAAAAAAAUCAGAUGGUCCCCUCUUGCUCUUUCAUAAUUUUUUAUUAAUGUUUUCAGUGGGUCCAGUUCUUUAAAUUGGUUUUCUUCCCAUUCCUCCCUAAAUUACGUGAUCACCUUCCAAUUGAAGGAAUCUUUCCCAUAACAGAAUUUUAUUCUUGUUUAUCACAUUUAUGAUUUUGGCAUUUUGUGGCUCUUACCAAAAUUCACUCUUUAUCUACCUUGGAGGCCCACACAUUUUCUUUCUCACCCACCAUUCCAUUUUACCUUACAUUAUAUAACACACAUAGAGAUACAGAGGGGGCGAACAGAAACAGAAUAGAGAGAGAAAGAGGGUGACAGGAAACAAAUUAGAGAGGAGAACGAGAGAAGUCUGGGAGGAACGAAAAAACAGAGGAAAACGAGGGCCUAUAAAUAUCAUUUUCUUCUACAAAGUUAAUCCAUUCCUUAAACCACCAUUAAUAUCAUCUUUCUUCACCCUUGUUUCCUCCCACCAAAUCUCACCAUAGAUAUUGUCCCUAACACCAAAUAUCACCGACAACUAAUUCAAACACCCUUGCUUAACGUCAAACUAAAGGGGUCGGGUUAGCUAUAUUUUGUUUGAAGUUGCAGAUUGAGGUUUUCGGUUCGCCGUUUUGUUUAUUUUUUGUUGAUUUUUCGCUUCUCCGGUCAAGUUUUCGUCGCCGGAUUUUUCUUCCCUUCAUCAAUUGUAAAGCUAUUUUGGGAAGUUCUAUUAAUGGAAAAGGCUACUUAAAGUGUAGAUUCAACUCAAUUUCCAGGAGAAACAUAUCAUUAAAGGUCCAACUCUUUUCUCUUUUUUUCUUGCAUUUUGUUUUCUAGCUUUGCUGCUGUUUGAUUUACUUUACGAAAUGGUCUUGUGGCUUAUUUUAUAAUUUGUAUGUUAAUGUGUUCUUAACAGAAUAGUUGUUAUACUUUGAAUC